GUAAAUCUUCAUUAACCCUAAAUAAAGUAAUAAAAGAACCGGGUAGUUUUACCAUUUUGAAUUUGGAAAGAACGGAGCUCCGGAAUGUGGCGGCGAAACGCAUUUCAGGAAAAUCCAGAUUCUGAUCAGAGCAUUUCUGACGAGGACGAUUUCGAUGAUGAUUUUCGAGAAAAUUGUGCUUCAUUAGGCGACCGCUUAGAAAAAGAGAAAGAGGAAAGGUUUCAACUUCAAUCAAGACUUGAAACACUUAAAGAAAAAUGUGAUAACAAUCGCUCGUACCAUCAAGAACACAUUAGUUUUUGUCUUGAAGAGGAUGUUGAAGUGCCUGACUCUUCCGAUGAGGGCAACUGCUUCCCCUCUGAGAAGUUAUGUAGAAGAGUUUCCUGUGAGGAACUGGUCUCUGAUGGUUUCCUUGGACAGGAGAAUGUUAUGCGCUCAAAGACAUUCAUUGCUUCUGGUGCUAAAGAAUCUGAUCAUAGUUAUGGAAUUAAGGAUGGAAAUGGGGAAAAUGCAUGGUCUAUGGUAACUAAAGAGGCUGAGGCACUAAUCAAUUUGGACAAAAAUGUUUCUAGCUUUUCUUCUGCCUCCAAAGCUGAUAAAUCUUGUAAAGGUGCCAAAAGCAAAAUUAAACCUAGAUUUUCAUUUUGCUUCCAAUCACAUAAAGGACGGUCUGCUACUUCAGAUAAUGAAAAUGAGGUGUCAACUAAGGCUGGUGAAAUGCCUGAAAGAUUGAAGGCCAGUGAUCAUGGAACCUUAGAGCAUUCAAUAGCUGAGGUUCUUGAAGAUUUCAAUGGAGAAGAGGAAAACCGGUUAGAGAUUGUUCCUGCUGAUGUAGAAGCUCAUGGUCAUGGAUUUAUUGAGCAUUCAAUGGCUGAGCUUUUAGAUGACCUUCAAGAUAAUACCAGUCUGCUAAGAGGGAAUUUUAAAAUGCAUAGCAGAGCAAGAGGAAAAAGGGUACAAGCUGCUCUCAAAAGAAGUAUAUGUUCACUCGGUGAUAGAACCAUUGAAAGUGAAGACCUCAAUGAGCCCUUCAGUGGUGGAUCAUCAAGCAAUGAUGAGGCUGAUUACCAAAAUCUAAAACUUGCCAUCCCUGAGAUAAAGAAGCCAACUAUUUCAGAUAAGUUUCAGGAAGCCUUAGGUGCCACCUCCUUGACUGCUGAAGGCACCUUUAUUCCUAGACCAGGAGCAUUCAGCACUGGACUAUUUGGAAAGUUGCAGCAGAUCAUGCAGCAAGAAAAGGAGACAGAUACGCAUUUUCUUAUGAAGUUACAGAAUGGAGCUAGCUUUAAAAAUGAGCCAAGCUGCAUUGCCGUGAACAUUGUUUCAAGAUAUUUGGAUGCAAAACUGACAGUCUGUUAUUGCUCUUUUGUCAAGACCAUAGAGGGUAUUUUGCAGUCGGAGAGCCCCAAAAUAUUGGAAAAUGAAGGACAAAAAGUAACUGUUAUUUUCAAUCAAAGAAUAUGUGCCAAUGUUGACCUUGAAAUUGGAAAGUUGAUUUGCAUUCACGCCCCAUGAACUGUACCACAUUUUACCCGCCUGAUACUAUACUGCAAGGAAUCAUUACACAUGAAGGAAGUUGAUGUCACUGGUGAUGGUGAGAAAACAAUUUUAUCUACAUAUUUCUCUGACAUCUCACUGUAACUAAUUUGGGCUUGUCUUUGAGGAAGUGGCUUUUUACAUCAUUCGUUCGAGUUCUAGACAAAGUCAUAUGAUCGCUUGAAAUGAUCGAAAGAGCCAUGCAAUUCGUUCUGUAAAUAAGCAUAUAUUUAGAUUUUAUGUUAGGAAAUUAAUGGGAACUGAAGUUUCUAAGCAUAAUAUUUGUUAUUGCAGGAUCAUUUAUAUAUAUAUAUUUGUUCUAGUGUUUGAAUUGUAUACCACUGUUUUUACUCUGGUUUUGAGCUUGGAUAUUGUAAAAGAAGUUAUAGAUGUCAAGAUACAAAGUAUUAUAAUGUAUUCGUGUUCAUUUACUUAAA